AGAUCACCAGUGAAAUUUCUGAAAGACUGGACACCAGUUAUGGACAUUUUGUGGGGGAAAAGUAAGUGACUAGGUCAAACAGGAAACCAUUUUGAACUACCAUGCUGUGAAAUCUUCAAAUUUGAUGUUUAAAGAAAAGCUUGUUCACAUAAAGAAGUGAUACAAAGAUAUCCACCAUGGGGAAGACAUACCUUCAUUUACUGUGUGUGUUAACAACAGAAAGCAGUUGAAAAGAGACUAAAUGACACAUCGAUAGCAACAGAACUAUUUGUCAGGGGUGGGGAGUUCUGGCGAGGAAACAAAGAAGAGGCUAAAGAAGUCGUAAUGUGACAAAUUGUCUAAUACAUUUGUUCUUGCUUCAGUUGUUCUAGCAGCAGCUUCCUGUCAUUGGAUGGCCCUGUCAUUAGGUAGAGUGAUGCAGCUACUUCAGGCUACAGAUUAAGGCCCU